GGUGACCCCUUGGGAAGUCCUCGUGUUGCACCUCUU
rnacentral:rRNA from 1 species